UUUAAGCACAGUGCUAUUGCUCAGUGUACAAGUCCCAAAAACCUCAGCAGCAGGGCGGUAACUACGGCAGAGGAGAAGGUCAUAUUAAGAACUAACAAACGAACACAAUCAGCAGUAAAACAGGACAAGGAAGCUGCACAUGAAGAAAUGAAGGUUGAAAAUGAAGCAACUCAACAAACUCCUGAUAAAAAUGGUGAGUUAUAAAAAACCAAAA